ACGUAACUAUUAAACAAUAUUAUAUUUGUGAACCCGGUCAGGUCUGGAAAGAAGCAUCCGUAACAAAAAUAAUAUGUGUAAAAAUAGUUACGUUAU
rnacentral:SRP_RNA from 1 species